AGCGAACGCUGGCGGCAUGCCUAACACAUGCAAGUCGAACGAGACCUUCGUGUCUACUUGCUCACGGGUGCGUCACGCGUGGGAACCUUCCCUUAUGCUUGGAAUAACUCCCCUACGUGGGUGCUAAUGCCGGGUAAUUUCUUCUGAUCACACAUUCAACGCCCUAGUGUGGGCCCGCGUUGUAUUAGCUGGUGGGUAUGGUAAAAGCCUACCAAGGCUACGAUCCAUAGCUGGGCUGAGAGAAUGAUCCGCCACACUGGGACUGAGACACGGUCGAGAAUACUACGCGAGGCAGCAGAGCGGAAUAUUGGAAUAUCGGCGAAAUGCUGAAGGACCAAGGCUGCGUGAGCGAUGAAGGCGUUAGAGAUGUACAGCUCUUUUACACGCGAUGAUAAUGACAGUACCGAAAGAAUAAGCUCCGGCUAACUCCGUG
rnacentral:rRNA from 1 species